UGAAUGCUCUGCCCUAGGUCACUCCAUCUGCAUUGCUCAGGCUCAAACUUGCCUGACUGAGAAACUCAUCCUUCUGAACAAGUUGCACAAGAGCCGUCACACAGUCUGGUACACCUGAGACAUACUGUGGAUGUAUAGAGCAUGCUGAGAUUGUGAAGAGGUGAGAAAUUCUAUGUACUUCUAAAGCACAAAUGAAUAUGAAGCAACAGGAGGGUGGAACUUGGAUGGUUCCAUGAUAGGAUGUCCCUGGAGGGAUGGAAGGACUGUGAUCUGUGGGAAAAAGGAUGGUGACAAGGGGCAGCUGCUGUAGAGGGUAUGAAGUGAACUGCCGGCUGGACCUUAAAGGGGAUGGAAAGAGCCUCCUAUGGACCAGAGAGGAUUAAAUUUGCUGCACUUCAGACAGGUCUUAAUUGUAAGCAACCCUGGAGCUGAUGACAUGCCUCCAAGGACACAGCAGGUUGUUCAGCUGCUACUGAGAAGAAUUGAAUGUUUGGAAAGGACUUCAAUCCACCUCCUGUCAGAGACUCUGCAUAUCUGACGGCCUUCUGACUGAUCCAAGCUAUGCUGUUCACGCAUCAGGAAUAAGGAAAAGGUUUCAUUUGGAAACUGGCACUGGAGAGGAACUGAAGGGCUGCUGAUGGAAGAGCUGUGGCUGCAACUACCGUCCCAAUGGAUGUCCUGUGCCCAGUGCUGUGCCCAGAAGCAAAGUUACCAAGGCUGACACAUUCAUCUGCUGCCAAUCUGAUCAGUGCCUGGAGAAAGCAGACGCGGGAGACACGAAGCAUCUUUCAGUUGCUGCUGGGAAUGUCCCACCAGCAGCAUGGGGCGGCUGAGAGACGGCUGUGGGGCACCGAGGGUCUGCAGGGAGGAAUCCUGAACUUAUCCAGUAAAUGACAGCUACCGCGAGGGCGAGGGCUGGAGGGGAAACCGAGAUAAACUGUAUCCACCAACCCCCUGGCAUUUGUGUGAAAAGCCUCCCACAUCCAAGAUCUGCUCUGCCUCUUAAAAUGUACAUAGCUGCUUCAGGAGAGAAACCAGGCCCUUGAACAAGAAGGAAUGAGAGAUGAUUCAUUAGGAAAAAGAAAGGAAUGUGGGUUUGCAGCAUGGCAAGAAAAGACUGUGACCCCCUCAGCUGCUCUGCACAAAGCAAUUUG